UCAAGGGUGUUCUUUCUGCGAUUCAAGCAAGAACGGAUUUCAGUUCUGAAAGUGCCCUGUGCCCUCACUCUGAGCUGGGCCGCGGCCCCGGGUGCAAGCCACGGUGGCCACAGCAGUGCUGUCCUCUCCCCCGCAGACAUCCAGGACAAAGAAGAGACACAACUUAGGAAGGACUUGGGAGCAAGCCUGUCGGCUCUAAAUUGCACCGCCUGUCGCGCCGCCAGUGUACAUCUGUCCAUCCUCAAGGCUUUCAACUGAGAGGGAACACCGAAGAGGGCAUGCCACAUUAUGUCCCCAAACCUCUGUGUCCUGAGGAACAGCUAAGAAGUACCUGGUCGGGGAAACUGCUUCUUUCUGGAUCCUGAUAAGCCAAACUGGAAAGCAACUGGAGAAAACUUUGCCUGCGACACAUGUGGUUUCUAAAGCAAGGAAGCACACGUAUUCCUUGAAGAAUCCUGACUUUUACAAGGUGUCAACUUGGGGGCUGUGGUCAAAGUCACACCACCUGCUGAAGGAGGACGUGGCAGUUUCGCCACAAGGGGGCUGGCGUGGCUGUGCCUCGUCCAGCUGGGGGAGAGGAAGGGAAACUUGAAGAUGUUUCUGAAGAACCAUCACUUGCAAGAGAAUUUGAGACUUAACUAGAUGAAAAUGUCAAUUUGGCGCUCACUGGCUCUGCAUUCAGCUUGCGGCAGGGAAGUCUUUGGGUGAUAGAGGAAAGUACUGACGAUCUCCCUGUGGUAGGAGUGAACACUUUGGAUUACUGAUUACAGUUUGCAUCAGGAAGUGGGUUGUGAAAAAUCCUAAUUAGCGUGAAAUUAUAUUUCCCCAUAGUGUUGCGGUUCCUGACCCAUACAGACCUAUAGGGCUGUAAUUCUCGAGGUAAGGAAAGCGUUUGGAUGGUCCAGGCCUUCCAAUUGCCAACCCCCGGACUCGAAUGGUAUUUUGUACCCUCACUCCCAAGCUCAGAGAGGUACUUCUCAUUCAAAUGAGAAAGCAUCAUCUCUCCAAUGUAAAAGACUCUCGAGGUUAUUUCCCCUUGUUUGAGACAACUAAACACAAGGCGUGACCUAAUGAAAGUACAGUUGACUCUUAGAUAAUGUGGUGUUUGGGGGCACUGACCCUGCCAUCCACACAGUCGAAAAUCCACGUAUAUAGCUUUAGCUUCCCCAAAGACGUAACUACCAUGGCCAACUGUUGACUGAAGGCUUUACAAAUAACAUAAAU